rnacentral:misc_RNA from 1 species
UGUUCACGUGAGUGCUCUUGGAUGCAGUGGAUAGGAAUGUCCCAUGGGUCUUUUGACUCUUGGCACACGAUCGGUUGGCUUUCUUAGUCGCCCUUCGACGGAUGACCGCCUUCCCAUCGUUGCUCCCCUUUCCCUUGUGGUAAUGGGUUGGCAUGUUGGGCUUGGCGUCGUUGAGGACGUGCUACCUGGUUGAUCCUGCCAGUAGUC